GGGUUGUGAGGUUAAGCGACUAAGCGUACACGGUGGAUGCCCUGGCAGUCAGAGGCGAUGAAGGACGUGCUAAUCUGCGAUAAGCGCCGGUAAGGUGAUAUGAACCGUUAUAACCGGCGAUUUCCGAAUGGGGAAACCCAGUGUGAUUCGUCACACUAUCAUUAACUGAAUCCAUAGGUUAAUGAGGCGAACCGGGGGAACUGAAACAUCUAAGUACCCCGAGGAAAAGAAAUCAACCGAGAUUCCCCCAGUAGCGGCGAGCGAACGGGGAGGAGCCCAGAGCCUGAAUCAGCAUGUGUGUUAGUGGAAGCGUCUGGAAAGGCGCGCGAUACAGGGUGACAGCCCCGUACACAAAAGCGCAUGUGCUGUGAGCUCGAUGAGUAGGGCGGGACACGUGGUAUCCUGUCUGAAUAUGGGGGGACCAUCCUCCAAGGCUAAAUACUCCUGACUGACCGAUAGUGAACCAGUACCGUGAGGGAAAGGCGAAAAGAACCCCGGCGAGGGGAGUGAAAAAGAACCUGAAACCGUGUACGUACAAGCAGUGGGAGCACCCUUCGGGGUGUGACUGCGUACCUUUUGUAUAAUGGGUCAGCGACUUAUAUUCUGUAGCAAGGUUAACCGUAUAGGGGAGCCGGAGGGAAACCGAGUCUUAAUUGGGCGUUAAGUUGCAGGGUAUAGACCCGAAACCCGGUGAUCUAGCCAUGGGCAGGUUGAAGGUUGGGUAACACUAACUGGAGGACCGAACCGACUAAUGUUGAAAAAUUAGCGGAUGACCUGUGGCUGGGGGUGAAAGGCCAAUCAAACCGGGAGAUAGCUGGUUCUCCCCGAAAGCUAUUUAGGUAGCGCCUCGUGAAUUCAUCUCCGGGGGUAGAGCACUGUUUCGGCUAGGGGGCCAUCCCGGCUUACCAACCCGAUGCAAACUGCGAAUACCGGAGAAUGUUAUCACGGGAGACACACGGCGGGUGCUAACGUCCGUCGUGAAGAGGGAAACAACCCAGACCGCCAGCUAAGGUCCCAAAGUCAUGGUUAAGUGGGAAACGAUGUGGGAAGGCCCAGACAGCCAGGAUGUUGGCUUAGAAGCAGCCAUCAUUUAAAGAAAGCGUAAUAGCUCACUGGUCGAGUCGGCCUGCGCGGAAGAUGUAACGGGGCUAAACCAUGCACCGAAGCUGCGGCAGCGAACGUAUCACCCAAGACAACUUUACGGAGUUGACGAUUGACGGAGCGAAGCGACGUCAAAGCGUUCAUUAAAGUCGAGUUGGCUUAGGGAUACGUUCGUUGGGUAGGGGAGCGUUCUGUAAGCCUGUGAAGGUGUGUCGUGAGGCAUGCUGGAGGUAUCAGAAGUGCGAAUGCUGACAUAAGUAACGAUAAAGCGGGUGAAAAGCCCGCUCGCCGGAAGACCAAGGGUUCCUGUCCAACGUUAAUCGGGGCAGGGUGAGUCGACCCCUAAGGCGAGGCCGAAAGGCGUAGUCGAUGGGAAACGGGUUAAUAUUCCCGUACUUGGUGUUACUGCGAAGGGGGGACGGAGAAGGCUAUGUUGGCCGGGCGACGGUUGUCCCGGUUUAAGCGUGUAGGUGUGUGUUCCAGGUAAAUCCGGUUCACUUUAACACUGAGGCGUGACGACGAGGCACUACGGUGCUGAAGCAACAAAUGCCCUGCUUCCAGGAAAAGCCUCUAAGCAUCAGGUAACACGAAAUCGUACCCCAAACCGACACAGGUGGUCAGGUAGAGAAUACCAAGGCGCUUGAGAGAACUCGGGUGAAGGAACUAGGCAAAAUGGUGCCGUAACUUCGGGAGAAGGCACGCUGACACGUAGGUGAAGUGAUUUACUCAUGGAGCUGAAGUCAGUCGAAGAUACCAGCUGGCUGCAACUGUUUAUUAAAAACACAGCACUGUGCAAACACGAAAGUGGACGUAUACGGUGUGACGCCUGCCCGGUGCCGGAAGGUUAAUUGAUGGGGUCAGCGCAAGCGAAGCUCCUGAUCGAAGCCCCGGUAAACGGCGGCCGUAACUAUAACGGUCCUAAGGUAGCGAAAUUCCUUGUCGGGUAAGUUCCGACCUGCACGAAUGGCGUAAUGAUGGCCAGGCUGUCUCCACCCGAGACUCAGUGAAAUUGAACUCGCUGUGAAGAUGCAGUGUACCCGCGGCAAGACGGAAAGACCCCGUGAACCUUUACUAUAGCUUGACACUGAACAUUGAGCCUUGAUGUGUAGGAUAGGUGGGAGGCUUUGAAGCGUGGACGCCAGUCUGCGUGGAGCCGACCUUGAAAUACCACCCUUUAAUGUUUGAUGUUCUAACGUGGACCCGUGAUCCGGGUUGCGGACAGUGUCUGGUGGGUAGUUUGACUGGGGCGGUCUCCUCCUAAAGAGUAACGGAGGAGCACGAAGGUUGGCUAAUCCUGGUCGGACAUCAGGAGGUUAGUGCAAUGGCAUAAGCCAGCUUGACUGCGAGCGUGACGGCGCGAGCAGGUGCGAAAGCAGGUCAUAGUGAUCCGGUGGUUCUGAAUGGAAGGGCCAUCGCUCAACGGAUAAAAGGUACUCCGGGGAUAACAGGCUGAUACCGCCCAAGAGUUCAUAUCGACGGCGGUGUUUGGCACCUCGAUGUCGGCUCAUCACAUCCUGGGGCUGAAGUAGGUCCCAAGGGUAUGGCUGUUCGCCAUUUAAAGUGGUACGCGAGCUGGGUUUAGAACGUCGUGAGACAGUUCGGUCCCUAUCUGCCGUGGGCGCUGGAGAACUGAGGGGGGCUGCUCCUAGUACGAGAGGACCGGAGUGGACGCAUCACUGGUGUUCGGGUUGUCAUGCCAAUGGCACUGCCCGGUAGCUAAAUGCGGAAGAGAUAAGUGCUGAAAGCAUCUAAGCACGAAACUUGCCCCGAGAUGAGUUCUCCCUGAGACUUAGAGUCUCCUGAAGGAACGUUGAAGACGACGACGUUGAUAGGCCGGGUGUGUAAGCGCAGCGAUGCGUUGAGCUAACCGGUACUAAUGAACCGUGAGGCUUAACCUUACAACGCCGAAG
rnacentral:rRNA from 1 species